rnacentral:lncRNA from 1 species
UGUUAAAAGCUUAAACUGGUUGACAUAAUAAAUAAAUUUUAAACUAAACACUCAACAAUCAAUUAAUCAUGGAAACAUAAUCUGAUUGAAAGUUAAUUCAAACUAAUCCCAAAAAGGAAUUGAUUUUAAGGACAAAGUGCAUAAUACCCUAACCCAACCAAAUUCAUUUCAUGUUUUUUCCUCCAUACCAGCUGCCCCUAGAUUCAUCCUCCUCAUCUCCUCAAUGUCGGCCGGCCAGCACCUCCUCUGCUUGAUCAGGAUCUACGAUGACCAGAGAAUUAAUCCGACAAUCUCGAUCGAUGACUCUCUCAAUUUAGAAACAACAGUAAGGUAUGCUCGCGGUGGAAUUGAUUGAAAUUGUUGGUGGGUUUCGCUGGUUGUCGUGAGUGGUGUUGUUAAUGGAGGAUCUCCAUGGAGAAAGUUGUACACAUCACUCAAAUUCUGUUAGAAUUCUACAAGGUUACUUUACCCUAAAUCUCAAAUAUCUUGAAUAUCUAUCCCUGAAACAGGCAUUUUAAAUAUCCCAUAAAUUGAUAGAUAUUCAUAAAAAAAUCGAAAUCUCCAAUAUCCCAUAAAAAAUCAUUGGAUAUUCAUAAGAAAACCAUCCUAUAUUGUUUCUUCAUAUUUUUAUUUGUGGUUGAAGUUUAUUUUCCAUGAAUUAAAUUAUGUUGGAAGCACAAGUAUUUUUAUGAUGUUAAUGGUGUAUGGAAGGUGAAGAUGGAUGAGGUGAAAACGGUGCGGUAAAGAAUAUGAAAAUACAUGCUGGUGGGUUUCAGUGGUUGCUGUGGGUGUUGUUGUUAAUGGAGGAUCUCGAUGGAGGGAGUAUUUUUAUGGUGUUAAUGGCGGAUGGAGAGAGUUGACGGAGGAGGUGAAAAAUGAAGCGGUGAAGGGCAUGAAGAUAUAUCACGUGAUUGGCUAAAAUAAUACAGAUACUAUAUAUCGUACUAAUUUUUGUGUACAUGUACACAAGAAUGAUAUAUCUAGUUGAAAAUUUAAAAUAUGAUAAAAAAUAUGCAUCGAAAUUAUAUUUUGUAUUACUGAUACACAAGAUUUAUGUAUCAAAAUAAAAUUUGUGUUUCUGAUACAUAAGAUUUGAUCGAUUAAUUGGUUAUAUAUCCGAAAAGUUAUGUAUUCGACAAUGUAACUAAAACUUUAACUUUAAAUUUGAGAUUUUAUGUAAUUUUGGAAAAAGAAAAUGGAGUGUAAUGAGAGGAAAUUAAUAAAACUCACAUAUGCCUAAUCCCCAAAUGUAAGAAUGCUACUUCUUUUAAAAAAACUUUCGCGCUAUUAGUGUUACAAAAAUUAUCACUAAACUCCUAGCCCGUAGAAUAAGACCCUUUAUCAACAACCUUAUAGGCCCGUGUCAAUCUAGCUUCGUAAAGAAUAGACAAACUGGAGACAACAUCAUUGUUGUUCAAGAAAUUAUACACCACUUUAAGCGCGACUUGAAAAAAACCUUUUGAUAAAUUAGAAUGGUCCUCUGUCCGUAACACCUUGAUUUACUUUAAUUUCCCCUCAAAUAUCAUUAGCAUCAUUAUGUCUUGUAUAUCUAUCAGUUCCUCGGUGAUUUUAAUUACGAAUCUAGAACAAAUUUCUUUGACCCAACUAGAGGCAUCCGCCAAGAUUAUCCUAAAUAUCGUGCCACGUGGACCUCCACUCUCCCAUAUGUUUUUGUGGAUGAGUUGGUGCUUAUGUCCACCAUAGACCCUAAUAACUGUAAGGUGGUACAAUCCACACUCAAAAAAUUUUGUACUAAAUUCUCUUUUCUGCUAACUGCCAACAAACAUCCAGUCAACUACAUCUUCCUUCUUCCCUAUCAAAAGUAGACCCUCUUUUGAAAAAUACCUUGGGUUCCCCAUAUUCUACAAGUGCCCCAUCAGGACGGACGGACUUCCAGUUUAUUCUAGAUGACCUUAAGAAGAAACUUAUGGAUUGGAAGACCAAAUUCUUAAAUAUAGCUGGACGUACCACCCUUGCAAUAUCCUCCCUAAACAGCAUCCCUACUCACAUAAUGCAUUCGUCCUUGUCAGAGACAAAGGGGGUCUUGGAAUCCAAAAAUCAAGCCUGAAAAAUGAUGCUUUACUCGCCAAACUUGCUUGGCGGCUUUAUAGAAACCCAAUGACCCUUUGGGCAAGUCUACUCUAAUUAAUAAAUAUGCUAGAGGCAAAAGUGUUGCGGAUCCUAAUAAAGACCUAAAGUCAACGAGUUUCAUCUGGAAAAACAUAGUUAACAGUUGGAGCUUCUACAACAGAUUCAUUAGAUGGAAUAUUGGGGAUGGUACAAAGAUCUCCCUUUGGAAUAAUGUUUGGAUCCCCAAUAGUAAACCCUUGUUCAAAACUAUCAGUGGAUCUCUAGGUAAAAAAGACCUCGAGCUGACAAUUAGCGACAUCAUAGUCAAUCAAUCCUGGAACCUUGAUAAAAUCUCUAAUGAACUUCCUGAAGAGGUUAAAUUUCAAAUUACAGCAAUCCCCAUCCCUCUUCCUAGCCAUAAAACCGAUUAUCAAACAUGGCUCUUGAGCCAAAUGAAAAAAUUUCCACCAAAAGUGCCUAUGGCUGUCUCCUAUCAGAUUAUUCUUCAAAAGGCUCAACCACCAAGUCCUUCAACUGAAUUUGGAAACAAAAAUGUCCAAAUAAACUAAAAUACUUUCUAUUGCUAUGUCUUCAUGGGCAUCUCCCAACCAAGCAAUACUCACAUCAUAUGACCAAAACUGCUCUAUAUGCAACCAACCAGGGACCAUACUCCACAUAUUCCUUUUUUUCCCAUGUCCAAUUAUUUUGGAAGGCAAUUAACAUGCUACCUCAAAUACAAGCUAUCAGUGGGGCGAGGGAGAGAGAUUGGCUAGUUAAUUGUAGGAAUAUCAAUACCUCAUGCUUUUCAACCCUCUGCUGGAAAGAUGUCUUUUCUUUCUAUCUAUGGAAUAUUUGGUUAACGCGAAAUCAUAACGUUUACAAUGACCACAAGAUCCAUGUACCGACUCCCACACCUUUUGAGUGGCCUGUGUAAUACUUCUUCUUUGCAAAAAAUGCCCAAACUAGCCAAAGUAAGGAUCAAUCUACCUGGCAACCUCAAUAUAGAUGAGUCCUACAAUCACUCCACAAAAGUAGGAUGAGCAGGGGGGGGGCUUCAGAAAUAAGUUGGGGAACUGGGUGAAGGGUUAUAGUGCCAAAGUAAACGUUAAUUCCUCUUUGGAUGCAUAGCUAACGAGCCUUUACUAUUGUCUUCUAAUUGCUCUUAAGUUGCAGGUCUCCCAUUUGGAAAUUGCAACAGACUCAAUAGAGGUAAUCAACAUACUGCGGCUACACCAACAUACUAACAAUACUUUGGUUUCUUCAUAUAGAAAUCUUCUAAUCAGUCUGGGGAGCCAGCAGAUAAUGCAUGUAUCAAGGAAGCUGAAUCGAGUUGCAGAUAGGCUAGCUAAAGAGGUCCAUAGUUUGUCAAAUAAUAACUUGUUUGUUGAAGGGUUAGACCACCUGCUUUUGUUUGUCCACUGUAGGUGAUGUUGUAAAACCCUAGUUAUCAGAAUAAUGUUUAACUCCUAUCCUAUGCUGGGCCUGUUGAGCCCCUCUACUGUCAAAAUUAUGUAACUAGUACUGGG